AACAGUUAAAUAGAAUAAAAGGUCUGAGAGCUUUUCAAGGCCUGCAGAGCAUUUGAAUAAAACAUUUCUGCACCAACUUUCAUUCUGUUCCAGCUCUGCAUUAUCAGAACAAAAAUGCUAAUUCCGAGAAGAAAGACACGGGUCUCUGAUUUCUCGGUCUUGAAAGGUGCACCAUUGCUGAAACUCUGCACAAGGGCUUUGUUUCGAUUUUGUUCUCGGGAACAAUGUACCUGGCUCUGAAUUGACAUUCUAGAAAACACAAGCUUGUUCACAGCUUGGGACCCUAGGUGUCAUG
rnacentral:lncRNA from 1 species